CUCUCUCUCUCUCUCUCAUAUACGAUACCGUCAAAUCUCCACGAUCUCUCAUUUUUCUUCAAAAACAGCUACACUCUCUCUCUCUAACUUUAUCCCACCAUUUUAUCCCUCUCUUCUCCUCUGCCAUUUCUUGUUUGGACUCAAAAACCUUUACCAUUUUCUCUCUCUCUUCUAUUUGUACUACGACUCCCCACAAAACUAAGCAUAAUUCUACUUGUUCUCUUCUUCUUCAUCAUCUCUCUCUCUCUCUCUCUCUCUCUCAUCAAUACCCAUUUGUUCUUAUCCUUUCUCAUCAACAACGCACCUAUGAAGAAGUUCAUAUUGAAGCUUGAUUUACACGAUGACAAGGCCAAACAAAAGGCUUUGAAGACCGUAUCAACACUUUCAGCAGGAAUUGAUUCAAUUGCGAUGGACAUGAAGGAGAAGAAGCUGACAGUAAUUGGGACAGUGGAUCCAGUGAAUGUAGUAAGCAAGCUGAGGAAGUAUUGGCCAACAGACAUAAUCUCAGUAGGGCCAGCAGUGGAGCCAAAGAAGGAGGAGCCAAAGAAGGAGGAGCCCAAAAAAGAGGAACCAAAGAAAGAAGAAGAGGGUAAGAAGGAGGAGCCAAAGAAAGAAGGAGAGGCUAAAAAAGACGACGCGAAGAAAGACGAGCCGAAGAAGGAGGACGACAAGAAAGACGAGUCGAAGAAAGACGGUGAAAAGAAGGAGGACGAGAAGAAGAAAGAGCCACCGCCAGUCGCUGUGCCAGCACCAAUGCCGAUACCGAUGCCAAUGCCGAUGCAUAUGCCGAUGCCGAUGCCGAUGCCUAUGUAUAUGCAGCAACCUGACCCAGUAAUGGACAUGGUCAAGGCUCAUAGACCAUAUAACCCUCACUUGACCAGUCAUUACCAUGUCCACAGCAUGGAAGAGAACCCAAAUGCUUGUGUUAUUUGUUGAGUAUUACAAUUUCUAUGGUGCCUUAAGCCAAGGCAUUUUGGAAGCCAAACCUACUACCCCUUUGAAGCUAAAGCUCUCUCUUGUAGAUAAAAAAAAAAAAAAACAAAUAUUAUGGCUUUUUGGUGUUUUAUUUACCCAAUAUUUUAGUUUAAUGUGUAGAAAUAUUCAAUAA